rnacentral:rRNA from 1 species
GAUGAACGCUGGCGGCGUGCCUAAUACAUGCAAGUCGAGCGAACAGACGAGGAGCUUGCUCCUCUGACGUUAGCGGCGGACGGGUGAGUAACACGUGGAUAACCUACCUAUAAGACUGGGAUAACUUCGGGAAACCGGAGCUAAUACCGGAUAAUAUAUUGAACCGCAUGGUUCAAUAGUGAAAGACGGUUUUGCUGUCACUUAUAGAUGGAUCCGCGCCGCAUUAGCUAGUUGGUAAGGUAACGGCUUACCAAGGCUACGAUGCGUAGCCGACCUGAGAGGGUGAUCGGCCACGCUGGAACUGAGACACGGUCCAGACUCCUACGGGAGGCAGCAGUAGGGAAUCUUCCGCAAUGGGCGAAAGCCUGACGGAGCAACGCCGCGUGAGUGAUGAAGGUCUUCGGAUCGUAAAACUCUGUUAUUAGGGAAGAACAAAUGUGUAAGUAACUAUGCACGUCUUGACGGUACCUAAUCAGAAAGCCACGGCUAACUACGUG